rnacentral:rRNA from 1 species
UAUGGCUUAUUAGAUCGUGCGUUCUACGUGGAUAACUGUGGUAAUUCUAGAGCUAAUACAUGCAACUGGCCCUAACUUUACGGAGGGGCGCUUUUAUUAGAUCAAAAUCAAUCAGGUUUCGGCCUGUUUUUGUGAUGACUCUGGAUAACUUUGUGCCGACCGCAUGGCCUUGCGCCGGCGGCGUAUCUUUCAAAUGUCUGCCCUAUCAACUUUCGAUGGUAGGUGACAUGCCUACCAUGGUUGUAACGGGUAACGGAGAAUCAGGGUUCGAUUCCGGAGAGAGAGCCUGAGAAACGGCUACCACA